rnacentral:rRNA from 1 species
AUACGGAGGGUGCAAGCGUUAAUCGGAAUUACUGGGCGUAAAGCGCUCGUAGGCGGCUUGUUAAGUCGGAUGUGAAAGCCCCGGGCUCAACCUGGGAACUGCAUUCGAUACUGGCAAGCUAGAGUAUAGUAGAGGCAAGUGGAAUUCCGGGUGUAGCGGUGAAAUGCGUAGAUAUCCGGAGGAACAUCAGUGGCGAAGGCGACUUGCUGGACUAAUUCUGACGCUGAGGAGCGAAAGCGUGGGGAGCAAACGGGAUUAGAAACCCCAGUAGUCC